rnacentral:rRNA from 1 species
UUCUUUAAGGCAUUUUUUAAAGUAAAACCUGCUCCAUGUGAAAUAAAUAGCCGCAGUUUACUGUGCUAAGGUAGCGUAAUCAUUAGCUCUAUAAUUAAGAGAUAGAAUGAAAGGUUAAACGAAAUAUUUACUGUCUCCAAAUACCUCCAUUAAAUUAAUUCUGCCAGUCAAAACUCCGGCUUAUCACAACAGGACGACAAGACCCUAAUAAACUUUUACAAUUCGCUGGGGCGGCGAUACAAAAAAACCUUAUUAUAAACCCCUAACAAAUCUUUUAUAAUUAAUCAAGUUACAGUUACUAUAGGGAUAACAGCGUUACUUUUUUUUAAAGUUCAAAUUUAAAAAGAAACCUACGACCUCGAUGUUGAAUUAAUUAUUUCUAUUAAAAGCAAGAUUUUUAAAAGAUAGUCUGUUCGACCAUUAAAAAAUU